rnacentral:rRNA from 1 species
AGAGUUUGAUCCUGGCUCAGGAUGAACGCUAGCUACAGGCUUAACACAUGCAAGUCGAGGGGAAACGGCAUUUUAGCUUGCUAAGAUGGACGUCGACCGGCGAAUGGGUGAGUAACGCGUAUCCAACCUUCCGUUAAGUAGGGAAUAGCCUUGCGAAAGUAAGAUUAAUGCCCUAUGUGGUGUUUUGAGGACAUCUGAAGAUCACCAAAGGUUUACCGCUUAACGAUGGGGAUGCGUCUGAUUAGGUUGUUGGCGGGGCAACGGCCCACCAAGCCUACGAUCAGUAGGGGUUCUGAGAGGAAGGUCCCCCACAUUGGAACUGAGACACGGUCCAAACUCCUACGGGAGGCAGCAGUGAGGAAUAUUGGUCAAUGGGCGUAAGCCUGAACCAGCCAAGUAGCGUGCGGGAUGAAGGCCCUAUGGGUUGUAAACCGCUUUUUCAGGGGGAUAAAGUGAGUGACGUGUCAUUCAUUGCAGGUACCCUGCGAAUAAGGACCGGCUAAUUCCGUGCC